AGAGUCCUGAUGUGUUCGUUGUAAUUCCUGAAGUUUUGACCGAACAUUUUUAACUUCGGGAGUCUGCGUUUCCACUCUGCGUAAAUGCCUAUCCAAGGACUUACAAAAGUUUGGAACAGGACACCCACCUGCGAGAGCGGGUUCAAAACGAAGGCAUCAAUUAAAGUCAACGGCACGAUUGGGACUCUU
rnacentral:other from 2 species